rnacentral:rRNA from 1 species
GACGAACGCUGGCGGCGUGCUUAACACAUGCAAGUCGAACGGAAAGGCCCUGCUUUUGUGGGGUGCUCGAGUGGCGAAAGGGUGAGUAACACGUGAGUAACCUGCCCUUGACUUUGGGAUAACUUCAGGAAACUGGGGGUAAUACCGGAUAGGAGCUCCUGCUGCAUGGUGGGGGGUGGAAAGUUUCGGCGGUUGGGGAUGGACUCGCGGCUUAUCAGCUUGUUGGUGGGGUAGUGGCUUACCAAGGCUUUGACGGGUAGCCGGCCUGAGAGGGUGACCGGCCACAUUGGGACUGAGAUACGGCCCAGACUCCUACGGGAGGCAGCAGUGGGGAAUAUUGCACAAUGGGCGGAAGCCUGAUGCAGCAACGCCGCGUGCGGGAUGACGGCCUUCGGGUUGUAAACCGCUUUCGCCUGUGACGAAGCGUGAGUGACGGUAAUGGGUAAAGAAGCACCGGCUAACUACGUG